rnacentral:rRNA from 1 species
UACGAAGGGAACUAGCGUUGUCCGGAAUUACUGGGCGUAAAGAGCGCGUAGGCGGUUUAUUAAGUUGGGAGUGAAAUCCCGGGGCUCAACCCCGGACUGCUUUCUAAAACUAGAUAGACUAGAGUGUGAUAGGGGGUGGAUGGAAUUCCUAGUGUAGAGGUGAAAUUCUUAGAUAUUAGGAGGAACAUCGGUGGCGAAGGCGAUCGCCUGGAUCACAACUGACGCUGAGGCGCGAAAGCGUGGGGAGCAAACAGGAUUAGAUACCCGAGUAGU